GGAAUCUUGGACAAUGGGGGCAACCCUGAUCCAGCGACGCCGCGUGGGUGAUGAAGGCCUUCGGGUUGUAAAGCCCUUUCACCGGGGACGAUGAUGACGGUACCCGGAGAAGAAGCACCGGCUAACUCCGUGCCAGCAGCCGCGGUAAUACGGAGGGGGCUAGCGUUGUUCGGAAUUACUGGGCGUAAAGCGCGCGUAGGCGGAUGGUCAAGUCGGGGGUGAAAUCCCGGGGCUCAACCCCGGAACUGCCUCCGAUACUGGACGUCUGGAGGACGGGAGAGGCGAGUGGAAUGCCGAGUGUAGAGGUGAAAUUCGUAGAUAUUCGGCGGAACACCCGUGGCGAAGGCGGCUCGCUGGUCCGUUUCUGACGCUGAGGCGCGAAAGCGUGGGGAGCAAAC
rnacentral:rRNA from 1 species